GAAUAGCUGAGCAGGAUCUUUUUCUUGAUAACCAAGAAAUCAGUCUGGCCCAACCCUUGGAACCAAACACAAUGUCCACUUAAAUAUCAGGCUUAGUUCGCAUGAUGCAAGGCUUGAACUUCCCUCAACCUUUGCCACCUGAGCUAAGCCCUGAGAAGGACUUCGCCAGCUGUUUCUGAUGUACAUCAUUGCUUUGCCUAGGCGAGGGUACAAGAUCCAAGCAAGCAAUUACAGAAGAAUCGACUGGAAAAAGCUUGAGCGAGCAAUGUCAUUCACUCAUUCAAGUCCGAAAUUCUCUAA
rnacentral:misc_RNA from 1 species